AACCCCCUGGCAGUAUGGAGAGUGGCUGACAUUCUGCCAGUUUAGAAAACAGGGAAAGUGUGUUAAGCAAGUCACCCACUGUGUUCUCAGAUUGCCAGGAAGCUGCUGCUUGGGAGAUACCCUAUGUCAACC
rnacentral:snoRNA from 1 species